GACGAACGCUGGCGGCGUGCUUAACACAUGCAAGUCGAACGGAAAGGCCUGCUUUCCCUUGUGGAUUGCGGGUACUCGAGUGGCGAACGGGUGAGUAACACGUGAGUGAUCUGCCCCCAACUUGGGUAUAAGCCUGGGAAACUGGGUCUAAUUCCCGAUAGGACUGCAGGGUGGUGCCUGUGGUGGAAAACGAUUUUCUAGUGGUUGGGGAUGAGCUCGCGGCCUAUCAGCUUGUUGGUGGGGUAAUGGCCUACCAAGGCGGCGACGGGUAGCCGGACUGAGAGGGUGGACGGCCACAUUGGGACUGAGAGACGGCCCAGACUCCGACGGGAGGCAGCAGUGGGGAAUAUUGCACAAUGGGCGGAAGCCUGAUGCAGCGACGCCGCGUGGGGGAUGACGGCCUUCGGGUUGUAAACUCCUUUCGACCGAGAGGAAGCCACCUGGUUGGAAGGGUGGUGACGGUAGUGGUAGAAGAAGCACCGGCUAACUACGUG
rnacentral:rRNA from 1 species